UAAUCGAUUAACAAUAUCAAAGUUGCCCAAUAAGCAAUAUCAGUUUCUACAUAAAAUAGUGUAAAAUUUAGAAUACGAAUAACAACUACUUGUUUUCUAUAGUAAACAUGGCAGAUGAAAAAGGCAGCAACCCAGGAUUUAUUGUCAUGUAUGUACAUACAAAUAUCACGGAAUAUGGGACACUACCACCAAUCCGAAAUACGCAUGAAUAAUAUAAAUACGAGGCUGUGGCUCGUAUGUGGCUGACUGUAUGACCAUCAAUAAGCAAAAAGGGAUAUCUCAUAUCUCGGUAGGGAUAUGACCAGGAAUGCGCAAAAUGACCUGAUGCCUGAUGUUCCUUAUUAUCACUGUCCCGUACUAUUCGAUUCAAAAGAAAAUGCCAAAUAAGAAACAUCAAGAGUCAGGCCAUUUUAGGCAUUCUUGGUCACACCCUUCAUUUGCGAAAAUGUACGUCUUACGUCUGGGCCUCUGGCCGGUGUGGACCAGCAGCGACCAUCUUGACAAACACCCUGACCUUGUACAAUACUGGCAGCAGAGUUCGAUGAUCGAGUUCAAUUUGGCGCAGAAAACUACGUAACACUGCGCCAGCUGGCGUAGUGACCAUAACGGUUCCAACACUACAAUUUUCAACUGAAAAAAGGCAUUUCUCGUUACACCAUCGACGAAAACCAAUUCCGACAUGCCGUCACAUGCGACUGCAGGAGCUAAAUUCCUUGGGCACGUAUCGGUGCCAGGAGCAGCGCUAUGUACGGAUGCCAGAUAAUCAAAGUCGAACGACGUGGAAGAUGUCGAGGACUCCACUGAUCCAGGACAGACCACUUCGAACCCAUGAUUUGUAUUUGUCGAGUCCAUCAUUUGUUGUUGACGAUGUGUCAUUCCAUCGCUGUGCGCUAAGGAUACAGUUUCACAAGACUAUCCAGCUUUUAGGGAUGAUAAUUUCGUGAAAUACACAUGUUUCUAUAAAAAUUUGUACAAAAAAUAUAAAACAACAGUUUUAUUGUUCAAGUCAAAACUCAAGAAAUCUAGAAACUUAUUGCUAGAAUCUAGAUUUGAAAGAAGUUGAAUUCCAAACUUGCAGGCUGCAGCAUGGCGUACAGCGCCGUGCAGUGUGCGCUCUUAUCGUGCGAGUACUUCUUCGUGCCCGCUUGAUCUAUGUUGUGCAUACCGGACCAGCUUUUGUGCGUGACAGCCUACCGCUCACGCAGCGGCCCUUGUUACUUGUGGGUUUGUAGCCGUAGUACAUAGAUUAAGGAUUACUUAAUAAGAUUUCAACUUUCAUUGUAAACAGUGAUACCUGUUAACUGUUGACUGUCCUGUUCUAUAGUUUUUUUACGUUCCCAGUUCUA